GACGAACGCUGGCGGCGUGCUUAACACAUGCAAGUCGAACGGAAAGGCCCUGCUUUUGUGGGGUGCUCGAGUGGCGAACGGGUGAGUAACACGUGAGUAACCUGCCCUUGACUUUGGGAUAACUUCAGGAAACUGGGGCUAAUACCGGAUAGGAGCUCCUGCUGCAUGGCGGGGGUUGGAAAGUUUCGGCGGUUGGGGAUGGACUCGCGGCUUAUCAGCUUGUUGGUGGGGUAGUGGCUUACCAAGGCUUUGAUGGGUAGCCGGCCUGAGAGGGUGACCGGCCACAUUGGGACUGGGAUACGGCCCAGCCUCCUACGGGAGGCAGCAGUGGGGAAUAUUGCACAAGGGGCGGAAGCCUGAUGCAGCAACGCCGCGUGCGGGAUGAGGGCCUUCGGGUUGUAAACCGCUUUCGCCUGUGACGAAGCGUGAGUGACGGUAAUGGGUAAAGAAGCACCGGCUAACUACGUG
rnacentral:rRNA from 1 species